rnacentral:rRNA from 1 species
UACAGAGGGUGCAAGCGUUGUUCGGAAUUAUUGGGCGUAAAGCGCGUGUAGGCGGCUUUGCAAGUCGGGUGUGAAAGCCCUCGGCUCAACCGAGGAAGUGCGCCCGAAACUGUAGAGCUUGAGUACCGGAGAGGAUGGCGGAAUUCCCCAAGUAGAGGUGAAAUUCGUUGAUAUCGGGAGGAACUCCGGCGGCGAAAGCGGUGCACUGGUGGAUUACUGACGCUGAGGUGCGAAAGCCAGGGGAGCAAACGGG